rnacentral:lncRNA from 1 species
UUUUCUUCUUCUAUUUCUAUUUAUAAUUAUAUGCUCAAUUUCCAAUCAUUUCACUUUCGUACGCCCCAAUCGUGUAUAUUUAUCACAUCACCACCAUCACUAUUGCUGAUUAUUUCAUUCUUCGUCACCAUUGCCGCUUCCACCAUUUUCGUCACUAUCGCUGCUUCCACUAUUUUCGUCACCAUCUCCACGGUUGUUAUCAGUUGUUUUAUUCUUCGCCACCAUCGUUGUCAUCGUCUCCACAGUUUUAUCUUCCACCACCACUGCCACUCGUGAUCUAUUUAUUUUUUUCCAUCGUCUCUUUUCUCUUCCAUCUUAUGUAGCUGUUUCUUUUUCUCAGCAACUCUGGCAAUUCAACUAGCUUCUCUGCUAAUCAUAUUUCCUCUUCCGCCUCAUCUUCUUCUGCAAUGUACUAUUUAUUUAGUUAUGUUCUAUUUAUUGAACGUAUAAUAGAAAUGUGACCUUACAAUACAAUAAGAGACAUGUGUUAUAUUUUGUUGUUGUGUCAUUUUUAUGAAUCAAUUGGUUUAUAUUUAUUGAUUAAGACUAACCAAUAACAAAAAAACAACAUAUCAAUACUAUAUUAUUAAAAUCGACAAUGUUUAAGGUGUUAAACACUGUGAGCCAGUAAAAAAAAAAGACUAUACCAUUUAGAUAUACAAUGUGGUAUAGGAUUGCAUUAAGUUUCAUAGUUGUAAAAGAUGGACAACUUCGACAAUUCCACUACGUUGCACAGAAGCUUCAUCGGACGUCCGCUUCCCGCUUCGGAAUCGGAAUCGGAAUCAGAAUCUUGUGGAAGCUUACGGAAUCUCGCUUCCAAAACGCUUCUAAAAUAUUCUUUUUAAAAACAUGUUGGAAGCUUACGAUUCCGUUUUGGAAUCACG